GGUCAUUUAUAUAAAUGCCUUCCUCACAGGUGUCCUAAGGCUGUCCACAGAAGGCACUAACAGCUCAGUGCUUGAAAUGCUUUAGAAUUAGGCUGCAUGAGAAUAAAAUUAUUCUUAACUGCUUCACUUUUCCUUCCUAAAGAAUUACAUGCUUUUUUGACCCUAUAAUAAUGAGAUUACAAGAAGAGAAAAGCAAUGAGGAAUGAUGCUACAAGCAAUCAUAAGCAUCAGGUUCUGGUGACCACCACCUUGAGAGAAGCUGGGAUUUUCCUUCUGCAGUGAAAGAAAAUAAAUCAUACAAGUCAACA